UCCCAGAGACGGGUCGACUGACCUGAAGGAUUUUAGCUAAAAAGCUAGCAUCCUAUAACCAGUUUUGCAUGAUUUUCCACUCCUCUUUUCUGGCCUGACGGUCAAUGGCCACGUUUACAAUUGAAGAAGGGAUGCUAAUUUGAGCCAUCAGAAUCGUCAGUUUGGACUCAGGUCUUUUGACCCUCUUUUGGGACUUCAGGGGAGAGGUCGAAACCCUGGUACUCCCAGUAAUGCUCAGAAAUU